UACAGAGGUCUCAAGCGUUGUUCGGAAUCACUGGGCGUAAAGGGUGUGUAGGCGGCGUGGAAAGUCAGAUGUGAAAUCCGGGGGCUCAACCCCCGAAUAGCAUCCGAUACUGCCAUGCUGGAGGUCUGUAGAGGAGUCUGGAAUUCUCGGUGUAGCAGUGAAAUGCGUAGAUAUCGAGAGGAACACUUAUAGCGAAAGCAAGACUCUGGGCAGAAACUGACGCUGAAACACGAAGGCCAGGGUAGCGAACGGG
rnacentral:rRNA from 1 species